CGCAGCCGCGGUAAUUCCAGCUCCAAUAGCGUAUAUUAAAGUUGUUGUGGUUAAAAAGCUCGUAGUUGAACCUUGGGCCUGGCCGUCCGGUCCGCCUCACCGCGUGUACUGGCUCGGCCGGGCCUUUCCCUCUGUGGAACCCCAUGCCCUUCACUGGGCGUGGCGGGGAAACAGGACUUUUACUGUGAAAAAUUAGAGUGCUCCAGGCAGGCCUAUGCUCGAAUACAUUAGCAUGGAAUAAUAGAAUAGGACGUGUGGUUCUAUUUUGUUGGUUUCUGGGACCGCCGUAAUGAUUAAUAGGGACAGUCGGGGGCAUCAGUAUUCAAUUGUCAGAGGUGAAAUUCUUGGAUUUAUUGAAGACUAACUACUGCGAAAGCAUUUGCCAAGGAUGUUUUCAUUAAUCAGGAACGAAAGUUAGGGGAUCGAAGACGAUCAGAUACCGUCGUAGUCUUAACCAUAAACUAUGCCGACUAGGGAU
rnacentral:sRNA from 1 species